rnacentral:rRNA from 1 species
GACGAACGCUGGCGGCGUGCUUAACACAUGCAAGUCGAACGAAGUGGCGAACGGGUGAGUAACGCGUAAUCAACCUGCCCUUCAGAGGGGGACAACAGUUGGAAACGACUGCUAAUACCGCAUACUGAAGGAGGGGAUUGCGUCUGAGUAGGUAGUUGGUGGGGUAACGGCCCACCAAGGCGAUGAUCAGUAGGCGGUCGGGUAGGAGGAACGGGCAAAUUGGGACUGGGCAACGGCCCAGACUCCUAUGGGAGGCAGCAGUGGGGAAUCUUCCGCAAUGGACGGAAUUCUGACGGAGCAACGCCGCGUGAGUGAUGACGGCCUUCGGGUUGUAAAGCUCUGUUAAUCGGGACGCGGUACCGGAAUAGAAAGCCACGGCUAACUACGUGCCAGCAGCCGCGGUAAUAC